rnacentral:rRNA from 1 species
CCUACGGGGGGCAGCAGUGAGGAAUAUUGGUCAAUGGGCGAGAGCCUGAACCAGCCAAGUCGCGUGAAGGAUGACGGCCCUACGGGUUGUAAACUUCUUUUGUCAGGGAGCAAUUGAGUCCACGUGUGGGCUUAGCGAGAGUACCUGAAGAAAAAGCAUCGACUAACUCCGUGCCAGCAGCCGCGGUAAUACGGAGGAUGCGAGCGUUAUCCGGCUUGAUUGGGUUUAAAGGGUGCGUAGGCGGAAUAUCAAGUCAGCGGUAAAAAUUCGGGGCUCAACCCCGUCGUGCCGUUGAAACUGAUGUUCUUGAGUGGGCGAGAAGUAUGCGGAAUGCGUGGUGUAGCGGUGAAAUGCAUAGAUAUCACGCAGAACUCCGAUUGCGAAGGCAGCAUACCGGAGCCCAACUGACGCUGAAGCACGAAAGCGGGGGUAGCGAACAGGAUUAGAUACCCCUGUAGUC